rnacentral:rRNA from 1 species
AGCGAACGCUGGCGGCAGGCUUAACACAUGCAAGUCGAACGGGCACUUCGGUGUCAGUGGCAGACGGGUGAGUAACACGUGGGAACGUACCUUUUGGUUCGGAACAACUGAGGGAAACUUCAGCUAAUACCGGAUAAGCCCUUACGGGGAAAGAUUUAUCGCCGAAAGAUCGGCCCGCGUCUGAUUAGCUAGUUGGUAGGGUAAUGGCCUACCAAGGCGACGAUCAGUGGCUGGUCUGAGAGGAUGAUCAGCCACAUUGGGACUGAGACACGGCCCAAACUCCUACGGGAGGCAGCAGUGGGGAAUAUUGGACAAUGGGGGCAACCCUGAUCCAGCCAUGCCGCGUGAGUGAUGAAGGCCCUAGGGUUGUAAAGCUCUUUUGUACGGGAAGAUAAUGACGGUACCGUAAGAAUAAGCCCCGGCUAACUUCGUGCCAGCCGCCGCGGUAA